rnacentral:rRNA from 1 species
UACGUAGGGCGCAAGCGUUGUCCGGAAUUAUUGGGCGUAAAGAGCUCGUAGGUGGCUUGUCACGUCGGGUGUGAAAGCCCGGGGCUUAACCCCGGGUCUGCAUUCGAUACGGGCUAGCUAGAGUGUGGUAGGGGAGAUCGGAAUUCCUGGUGUAGCGGUGAAAUGCGCAGAUAUCAGGAGGAACACCGGUGGCGAAGGCGGAACUCUGGGCCAUUACUGACGCUGAGGAGCGGAAGCG